rnacentral:rRNA from 1 species
CAGUCGCCACGGGAAUACAGAGGGUGCGAGCGUUAAUCGGAUUUACUGGGCGUAAAGCGUGCGUAGGCGGCUUCUUAAGUCGGAUGUGAAAUCCCUGAGCUUAACUUAGGAAUUGCAUUCGAUACUGGGAAGCUAGAGUAUGGGAGAGGAUGGUAGAAUUCCAGGUGUAGCGGUGAAAUGCGUAGAGAUCUGGAGGAAUACCGAUGGCGAAGGCAGCCAUCUGGCCUAAUACUGACGCUGAGGUACGAAAGCAUGGGGAGCAAACAGGAUUAGAUACCCCCGUAGUCCCUGUCUCUUAUCC